ACCGGUGGCAGCAGCAGCUCAGGAGUCUCUUAGGUUGGGCGGGGCUUGAAUCAAUGAUGAGGCUCUAUUCUGAAACACCUUUUGGUGUGAAGCGGGCUUCUCUUCUUUUUGAAGAUGUGGGCGUGCGUCUGUGUGUUUGAUGGCGGGACACAGAGGGUUGGAGCUGGGGAAACACUUCAGGUGAGCUGUCCUCUGCUGUGGGGAACGUAAGAGAAUCAAACAGGGCAAGAGCUGGGAGGAGGGGGUUGAGGAGAGGAGCUGACUACUCCCAGUACCUUCACUCAGCUCACAGUGGCUAGACAAGGUCACCUGUCACACAGCCAGCUGCACCUUGUAAAAGCUAAGGCAACGGGACAACUUCUGUUCAGUGUCCCCUGUGUAUUACCACCCUUCUCCAACCUGUCGUCUGCCCCAGCAGGCUGGAACCAUGCCCUCAAUCCAAGGACUCCCUCGAUGUCUGACUUCUGGUUGAUUUAGCACAUAGGGAACCCCUGAAAGAGAUUGGUGGGAAGGAGUGAAGUGAGUUACUUUCCCAUCUUUCUGAGGGCUCCCUGUGGUCUGCAGGUCGGCUGUCUUCCUAGAUCUAAGAUUCCAGUU
rnacentral:lncRNA from 1 species